GAGGAGAGCCCCCACCGAGCUCCCCAGGACCCCCAGAGCCCAGAUCCAGCAGCCCCCACAUCCCCCGAAGCUGAAGGUGGGAGCCCAGCAGCACGCAUGGUUCCUCCCCCAGGUCUUCUCUCCCAGAGUGCUCCAGAUGGAAAGAGGAGUCACCGGCCAGAAACCCCACAGGCAGCUGACAAUGGCCUGGAGGAUGAGAAGGGGGAAAAAACAGAGACACCGAACGGAGCUGAGAUACGUUCCGGAUGAUCCAAGGGGAACUCAGCCCAGAAGGCAAACCCAACACCACAGCAUCAACCACAGCAAAGCUCCAAGGAACCACAUGGACAAGUGAAGCUGGAGCCCCGUGGCCACCGGUCCCCGAGGACAGGUGGAAGCCCGAAAGGCUGCUGAGGGGAUCCUGUGGUGGGGAGAACCUACAAUAGCAACGAGGCCAGGAGGCCAGGAGGCACAGCGCACAGAGCCUCCUACGGGUGUCCAGACUGUGGGAAGACCUUCAGCAGGAUGUCGUUCCUUGUCCCCCACCAGAGGAUCCACACUGGGGAGAAGACCUUCACGUGCCACAAGUGCAUCCACUACUUUUGGCCUCCUGCAAGGCCACUGGAGGCCACUAGAUUCCAGGGAGAGUCCUUAUUUUGCCUCGAGGGUGCAAGAGGAGGCUCAUAGGGCAUGCUAGAGUGCCCUUGGAGGACUGUAGGGCAUCCUAGAGUACACUGGGGGUCACUGGAAGGCUUUCCGGGGGAGCUAGAGGGCACUGGGGGGCACUGGUAGACCUGCGGAGAAUCUAGAGUGCAGCGGAGGACCACAGGAGGCCUGCAAUGUUCCAGAGAGUGCAGUAGAGAGCACUGUGAGGCUGCUGGAGACCACUAGAUUCCAGCAAGAGUCUUUAUUUUGCCUCGAGGAUGCAAGAGGAGGCUCGUAGGGCACCCUAGAGAGCCCUGGGUGUCCUCUAGAGCUUCCUUGAGGACACUGGGGGUCACUGGGAGGCUUUCCGAGGGAGCUAGAGGGCACUGGGUGGCCCUGGUAAACCUGCGGAGGAUCUAGAGUGCAGCAGAGGAAUACAGGAGGCCUCCAGUGUGCCCGAGAGUGCACUAGAUGGCAGUGUGAGGUUUCCAGAUGCCACUAUAUUCCAGGAAGAGUCCUUAUUUUGCCUCUAGGGUGGAAGACAAGGCUCAUAGGGCAUCCUAGAGUGCCCUUGGAGGCCUGUAGGGCACCCUUGAGGACACUGGGGGUCAUUGGGAGUCUUUCCAAGGGAGCUAGAGGGCACUGGGUUGCCCUGGUAGACCUGCAGAGCAUCUACAGUUCAGUGGAGGGCCACAGGAGUCCUCCAGUGUGCCAAUGAGUGCAUUAGAGAGCCCUGCGAGGCAUCCAGAGGCCACUAGAUUCCAGGGAGAGUCCUUAUUUUGCCUCUAGGGUGCUAGAGGAGGCUUGUAGGGCAUCCUAGAGUGCCCUGGAAGGCCUCUAGGGCAUCCACUGCUAUUCGUCUGGGGUUGGUGUUGGGUGAGGUUUUGAACAACCAUAAAUAACUACAUGAUUCCCAGAACUACAGUGGAAGAAAGGCAACUAUAUAUAUAUGUGUGUAUAUAUAUAUAAAACCAGCUAAAGCUUGACAUCGUUCUUGCCCACUGUCAUGGUGGACUAUGAGGUGUGAAGGAGGCUGGGGAGCAGGCAAGCAGGGUACAGCCACUGUCCGACUCUGGCCACCAGCUGUACCCGGCAUGAGGGCCCUCUGGUCUUUCCCCCACAGACACUUGGAACUGGCAGGAGGGCUGGCCACCAGCUGCUUAGCUUUGCUUCACUUUUUUUGCUUCAGUUUUUCCUUGCUCUUCUUUGCUUUGUUCUUCCUUGGCACAGUUUUGCUUUUCCUUCUCUACUCUCCUUUGCUGUUCUUGCCCCUGCUUUGCUCUUCUUUGCUUUGUUCUUCCUUGGCACAGUUUUGCUUUUCCUUCUCUACUCUCCUUUGCUGUUCUUGCCCCUGCUUUGCUCUUCUUUGCCUCGAAUUGCUUUGCUUUGAUUUGUUUGCUUUGUCUUUCCUGGCAAUGCUUUGCUUUUCCUUGUGCUACUUUCCUUUGCUUUGCUUUGCCUUGCUCUGCUUUGCCUUCCCUGGCCCUGCUUUGCUUUGCUUUUCCUGGCUCUGCUUUGCCUUUCCUGGCCCUGCUUUCCUUGGUUUUCUUGGCCCAGCUUUGAUUUGUUUUCCUUUGCUUUUCCUGUGACACACAGAAACAAAUUUUACAACUCGAGGAGAGUUAUAAAGCAGGUAUGUUUAUUGCAGCACUGGGUGCAAGGGGGAUCGCUCCUCCUAGCUUGCACACCAAGGGUUACUACCAGGGUGAGAUAUAUACAUUGAUAUCAUUGAUGAGAUAUACACAUACUCAUUUCACUCCCCCCCCCCCACACACAUGUAAGUCUCUUGCAUAUUCAUUACGUAUCCAAAGAUUCAUUAACAUAGGUUCCCACCCCUAUUCGCAUGCAUGCUAUAGUCCUUCGGUGGUCAUCCAGCAUACUCUGGUGGUCUUUUGAUGAAGGCCAGAAGUCUUCCUCACUGCUAAACUUUUGACCCUUCCUGUCAUUUGCAGACUUCAGCAGUCCAGGUCAGUUCUUGCUGGUUACCUUUAGGGUCAUCCUGUCCUUGUGGUCAAUAUACAACAUACUUCCUGUUUCAGUCCUGUCCUUGUGGUUGACAACCCUCUUCCUGUCUCAGUCCUGUCCUUAUGGUUGAUAUACAAAAUACAUCUGUGUUAGUGUGUGAUGGUUUUACUCGGGUGGGCAGCUGAGUUCCACCACGGCCGCUCUCUCACUCCCCGUCCUCAAAGAGGAAGGGGGAGAAAAUAGGACACAAAGAGCUCAAGGUUUGAGAUAAGGAUGAUUUAAUUAAAGGGAAAAGGGAGAGGGAAAAAAAAAAAAAAAAAGGGGAAAAAAAAAAAAGCAAAGGCAGCAC